UACGAAGGGGGCUAGCGUUGUUCGGAAUCACUGGGCGUAAAGGGCGCGUAGGCGGCUUUAUAAGUCGGGGGUGAAAGCCUGUGGCUCAACCACAGAAUUGCCUUCGAUACUGUAGAGCUUGAGACCGGAAGAGGUAAGUGGAACUGCGAGUGUAGAGGUGAAAUUCGUAGAUAUUCGGAAGAACACCAGUGGCGAAGGCGGCUCACUGGUCCGGUACUGACGCUGAGGUGCGAAAGCGUGGGGAGCAAACAGG
rnacentral:rRNA from 1 species